AACGCUAGCUACAGGCUUAACACAUGCAAGUCGAGGGGCAGCAUGGUCUUAGCUUGCUAAGGCCGAUGGCGACCGGCGCACGGGUGAGUAACACGUAUCCAACCUGCCGUCUACUCUUGGACAGCCUUCUGAAAGGAAGAUUAAUACAAGAUGGCAUCAUGAGUUCACAUGUUCACAUGAUUAAAGGUAUUCCGGUAGACGAUGGGGAUGCGUUCCAUUAGAUAGUAGGCGGGGUAACGGCCCACCUAGUCUUCGAUGGAUAGGGGUUCUGAGAGGAAGGUCCCCCACAUUGGAACUGAGACACGGUCCAAACUCCUACGGGAGGCAGCAGUGAGGAAUAUUGGUCAAUGGGCGCAGGCCUGAACCAGCCAAGUAGCGUGAAGGAUGACUGCCCUAUGGGUUGUAAACUUCUUUUAUAAAGGAAUAAAGUCGGGUAUGUAUACCCGUUUGCAUGUACUUUAUGAAUAAGGAUCGGCUAACUCCGUGCCAGCAGCCGCGGUAAUACGGAGGAUCCGAGCGUUAUUCGGAUUUAUUGGGUUUAAAGGGAGCGUAGAUGGAUGUUUAAGUCAGUUGUGAAAGUUUGCGGCUCAACCGUAAAAUUGCAGUUGAUACUGGAUAUCUUGAGUGCAGUUGAGGCAGGCGGAAUUCGUGGUGUAGCGGUGAAAUGCUUAGAUAUCACGAAGAACUCCGAUUG
rnacentral:rRNA from 1 species